ACCCGGGCAGGGACCCGGGCACGGACCUGUGCGGGGACCUGUGCGGGGACCUGGGCACGGACCUGGGCACGGACCUGGGCACGGACCUGUGCCGGCCCCUCUCCUCGGGCGCUGCCCCGAUCCCAGCAAAAGCGCCCCCAAACGCCAGCACCCACGGCGCCCGCUCUGCCCUCUCCCUCCCGAGGAACCGAGCACCGGGCCCCGGAGGAUGUUUCAAAGACAAGUGUUCGUGAAGAGCAAGGUCAGUCCUGGGACUGAGAACUUUACUCGGCUGAGACGGCGGAUUUAAUUCCAGCAGUCAGCCCCGCGGCCGGGACAGAGGGAUAACCGGGGAUGUACCACCGUAAAACAACCCCGAGGCUUCCCUGGAAGAUCCUGACAGUUUCGGGAAGGCUCUGUUGCUUUCCAGUCUUUUCCAGGUAAACUCCGAUGUAGUCUCAAUUAUUUCCUGGAUGUAUAUGUUUAUUAUUUAAAACUAAUUCCAGCAAAGUAGCCCCUGAUAGUAGAAUGUUUACAAUGUAUAACGUUGAUUAGUUUUCCACAGGGAGCUGUCGUCUGGAUCCAAAUUUUUUUCCUCCUCAUUUUUACCACUGUUUCCAAAUAAUCCCGCGUCCUUCCAGUGGAAAAGCCAGGGGAGCGUCUUCUAAAAUGUUAUUUAACACGAAAUAACGACGCGUUUGAACAUCCACAAAGUAGUGAUUUCGUGCCUGCCCUCAGUCUAUUACCUCAAAUAACAUCCCACGCUGUGUUCAGGGCAGGCGCUUGCUCUCCCGGCUCUUCCUGUGUCCUAUUAAUAGGACAAACCCGCCCGCGCAUGACCCUUCCUACAAGAAUUCGGCCACAGUUUGCUUCGACUUAUAUCUGGCUGCAAAACGGGUCCUGUAAUUAAAAAAAUACCAAUACAUUUUACCCUUUGAAAGCACUUCGAUGGGGAGCUUGGGGUGCAAGAGUCGCACGCGUGUGCGCCUACAAACCGGAGUAGGUGCGGAGCCUCGCCCGCAUCCUGACAACAGAAAUCUGCUGGCUUUCAGUAAAUAGAGCGUGUUUAGUUUGGUAUUUUCUUUUUUUCUCAGGAAACGCGUCUUGGUUGGUAUGCAAAAAGGAGAGCAGCCGUCAGGGACUUGCCGCUUAUUUCCCCAAACUUUCUCAAGCGUUGGCAGGGCGGGAGGUGAAAGCACUUGAAUAAAAAGCCUUUUUUUUUUUUUUUUUUUUUUAAAGAAAAAAAACCACGCAAACACUCAAAACCAAACAAAUAUGUAUUUUUUUUUAAGCCUCAUUAAGAAAAAAAAAAUUAAUAAGACACACCUAUGUUUUGUUCCUAGGUAAAUUUAUCCACCACUGAGGGAGGACCCCAGCGGCUCCUGCCCCCGUGGAAAGGGUGCCGAGAGGAAGAGCUGCAGCCCCAGGCCGGCUGAAAACCCGGGGUUCAAACCAGAGUAUGUUUGCUCAGCAGGUACCCGAAGGUUUGCUCUCCCUGAGACCCUGAGGUUUGCUCUCCCGUUUUGCUCUGUCGGCCCCUUUGCGUUUAUAGGUGAGCUUUGUGUGUUUGUUCCUCAAAAGUAGCUAUUCUUGCUGUUAAUGAUUGUAAACAUGUAAAAAAGGACGUCAGAAAAAGUGAAUUCGCAGCCUGCUAGCAGAGAGCACCCCUCGCUCUCCCGGCAGCUGAAAUAAGGGUGUAGAUUGGGGUUAGGGAGCAUCCUCCAAUUUUAAGGGAGAAGUGCUUGAAGUCAAGGAUGCCUCUUUUUUUUUUUUUUUUUUUUUUCCCGGCUUUUCCCUUCUAGUAUUAAAGUCGUGCAGGAAGAAGACGUUUCUCCUCCUCCAGACGGGAGGGAAACAGGCGUGCACGGGUUUUUUAAUUUAUUUUUGGGUUUUUUAAAGAUGUUUGUCACGCUGCUACCAUUAUUCCAAGGAUCCUGUGAGGUUUUCAUUCACUGCCCGGUUUUCAGGGCUCCUUUCUUCAUAUUGCAGCCAAUCCAAAUUGAGACUUCGGAGUGGAAAUAAAAGGGGGAAAAUCAAGACAAAAUAAUGAUAAUAAAAAUAUGAAGCAACCUCCCCACUUCCCUCUCUAUCACCCCCAAACCAAGUUGCCCCCCCGAGCAAAAUUCUCCUUGAGGAGGGAAGUUACUCCUCGUCCUGUCGGCACGUUUGAGUCAUUUUAUUUGCCUGAACUUUGGAACAAAGCUGGUUUCCAGAGGAAAUUUCCACUCCUGCUGCCGCCUCGCACCAGAGGGCGCCGGGAGCCUUCCCAGGUUUUGCUGCCUCAAGCGCUGCUGGAAAUUAACUCUUUGGGCGCUCUCUCUGAAGGCUUUUCCAACAUUUUCCUUUGAAAAUAUACAGCUAGAUUCUAACUUUCCCCCCCCCACCACCCUGUAAAAUGCGUGUUGGUUUGUUUCGGUUUGGGUUUGUGAGGGUUUUUUCCCCGCUCUUGUGUUACCCUUUCCCAGCACUUCCAGGGCUUGACACUCCCCCCACAGCCCCCAGCACUCUGAGGAGAUUUGCAGCUCCUCUCGCUCUCUCUUAACUUGGUUCUAAUUAAGUCACUGCAUCACGUUUGCGUGCCAUUGCCGUGUUUUCCCUCGUAACUGUCAGGGAUAAAAGUUUGUCUGGCUGUGUUUAAGCUCAAAGGGUCACUGAGGGCUCUUCAGGCAGGACCCCAGCGAAGCACAGCGCCAGGGAAAAGCGGUGAGUGAGCCAGCCCAGAGCACCUAUCUCCCUGUGCCACCUGUGCUGUUCAGCUCUGGGCCUGAAGGGUGCGAGGCCAAACCCUAAUGUGGGCAUAGAUUAAUGUGUGCUACAGGGUCAGAGCUUCUUUACACUGAGACCUAAGGGAACCCACGGGUUUUCCCACGGACAGGAGUGUGUUGGGAGGACAUCAGAUUUGUGUCUGCCAUGUUUCUGUCCCCAAUGGCUGUAUCUGAUUUGGUUCUUACCCACUCACCUUCUGGCCUGACAGGAUCAUCAAAGUCCAUCUCCUGGUCCUGCACAGACACCCCAACAAUCCCACCCUGUCCCUGGGAACGUUGUCCAAACCCUCCUGGAGCUCUGGCAGCCUUGGUGCUGUGCCCACUGCCCUGGGGAGCCUGGGCAGUGCCAACCACCCUCUGGGGGAAGGACCUUUCCCUGAGAUCCAACCUGACACAGCUCCGAGUUUGCUACAACUCAAAGAAUACUUCAAGAAUAAGUAACCCAAAGAGCAAAUACUGCAGGAAAUUAUAGAAGACUUUACCUAUAACUGGGGAUUAUAAACCUUCAGCUUCAGCAAAAGCAUUUCUUGUGUUUAUCUGUGUAUGCAAAUGCUGUGGCUCACCCUCUGAGACUCAGUUUUAGUGGCAAUGCAGGUUGAUUAUUCAUAGAAAAAACCCAGGCAAUCUGUGGGUGAAUAUUUAUUAUUACUUUAUUUAUUUACUAUAGCAGUCUGUUUUCAAACAGCGUAGAAGGACUAUUUUCCAGAACAGACAGUGACAGGACAAGGGGGAAUGGAUUCACACUGAGAGAGAGCAGGGUUAGACUGGAUAUUAGGAAGCAGUUCUUCCCUGUGAGGGUGGGGAGGCCCUGGCACAGGCUGUCCAGAGAAGCUGUGGCUGCCCCAGCCCUGGAAGUGCCCAAGGCCAGGUUGGACGGGGCUUGGAGCAACCUGGGCUGGUGGAAGGUGUCCCUGCCCAUGGCAGGGGGUGGCACUGGAUGAUCCGUAAGGACCCUUCCAACCCAAACCAGUCUGGGAUUCUGGGAUUCUCUAAUUCUGCUGAGCAGUUGGUUCCUCGGGUGCUCAGUCCUGGUGAAUGUUUGGGAACCAGUUUAGCUGCUUGUCCUACACGUCUGCCUCACUCAGUGACAUGUGCUCAGCUGAAAACUACAAUGCAGGUGUGUCAGAAACGACUCACUGCUGACUCAUUAAAAAAGAAAAAACAAUGCAGGCCUGAGCACUGAUACCAGGUGAGUCCUGUCCCAGUGCAAUAUGUACUACCACCUUAACUAGUGCUCGGACAGUUUUUGAAAUACAACUUUCAGGAAGCACAUGAACAUCUUUUCUUCAUCAUUUGUGCGACGUUUAACCAUACCAAAACUAGAUCAAGAACUUAUCAAUGUGGGCCUAGAUAUAUGCAUAGUGUGUAGUUUCCAACAGAUCUUAUAACUCUAAAUAAAUGAAUAAAAAGGAAGAUAAAUAAUAAGAAAGAGAAGAAGGAAGAAUAAACUAAAUAUUAGGAUGCAUCAUUUCCAUGUUUCCUGUAAACCUUUAUGCUAUUCACAUAUCACUUAAGGAUCAACAGAAAUGCAAAAUGCAUGAUCUGAAGAUGCAUUAAGAAAUCUGAGGGAAAAAACCAUAAAAACCAACAAAGAAAAACAUUUUAAUCCUGGGGGCUGGUGGAAAAACUCAGUUGAAGAGAAAUAGUGUUUGUCCUUGUGUUAUUUAAAUGGAAAUACAGAUUUUAAAAUUUUUUGUGACUGUUUCUUCAUUUAUGUCAGUAAUUUAGCAUCUGUCAACCAAAAAAAAGGAAAAUGCAUCAAAGGCUGCUGAGUUUACCCAAACACAAAUCCCUCUACAGAACGUGAUUUCAUCACUUACUAGGUCAUGUUGAGUUUUAUCUGUCAAGUGUGUGUGUAAGGUGAGAAUUCUAGUCUCAGAGCAAAUAGGGCAGUGUGCUGGAUAUUGUGAGCAGUGUGUUAAAGGGCAGCAGCAGCUUGCCCAGCCCAGCCCUGGCAGUGCCUGGUUAUCCCGGUGCCCAGCGUGCUGUGCCUGGGCAGCUCUGAUGUUCAGAGCCCACUCUGCCACCUGCACAGGGGGUCUCAAUGGACCUUCAUGUCUGGCCAUGGCACUGACUCACACCUGAUAACUUCAUUGAGUUUCUUUUUGGAGGAGGAGUGGGGGGCCUUUGGAGAGACUUCUCGACUCUUGGAACAACACAGGGGAAAAAAAUCGUGUUAAAAGGCAUCUUGGCCCUUCUGCCAUUUUCAUAGAAGCUGAUGGUAAAACCCUCUUUCACUUUACUGGGAACAGGACUGAGCCACUUAAAAUGCUAUUUUGUAAUAUAAAUCUUUUAAGUCUUAAAUAUUUCCAUACAGUGCAGCAAAGAAGUCUCAAACGUCAUCAGAAAGACUGCUUCUUGUUAGGCUGUUACAAUGUGCUAUUUCUGUUCAAAUAACUUUUACUAAUAUGAAAGACAAAUACAUUUGUACAGUUUGGGAGCCUGACACUGCAGUUGGGUGUUUGCAGCUUUUAUACAUUAGCCUAUUUAGGACAAUAACUUUAACUCUUCAGUUGCAUGAAACAAAGCCCAGAUGUUUCUCAGCAGCGUUUCCUCCUCAGGUCUUUUAGCUGAGCCUUUCUGGAGUGGAGUGUAGAGUUUGGUUACAGUUAAGCUCGAGUCAUAUAUUCCAAGAGUAUGAAGGGGUGAUGUAGUGAGGCACGAGUAGGAAGGGGGAAGAGGGACACUGAAGGAGGAAACAAUCUUCUUCUCCAGCUAAGCUAAGUCCCCACCCGUGGGACCAUGGAGAACUCUUAAGUUCUCAUCUUUGGAUCUUCUCCCUCCUUGGCAGUGACUUUAAAAAGGAUUAAGUGAGAGAACAGCAGCAGAAAAAGCCCCCAAAAUACCAUGCUCUGGGAAGGUCAGGGAGGUUGCCUUCUCCAGAUGUACGGGGGCUCCAGGGUUCAAAUUUGAAUCUCUCUGUGCUGAGUUGCUGUGAUGUCCUGCCCAGCAUCCUAUCUUCCCACCCAGGAAUAUAUGGAGGGCAACACAAUUUUCGUGGAUUAAUUAUUUGUUUUCCCUGGAGUUAGCCUGGCUGAGCAGCAUUUAUGGAGUCAUACAGGUCUCACCAGUGAUCUCCCAACAGAGGGGUAUUGUCCAAGUGACAGCCUACCUGAGCUUGUGCCAAAUGCCACUACAAGUCUCUCUUUUCUUUGUUUCUGGGUGUGUUGUGUCCAGUGGCAGUGUCCUAUGAUAGCUUUUCCCGGGAGGAACUGCCUUUAUAGCUGGUGUCUUUAUAGCACCUUGUGCAGUGGCCAAGGCUUACAAAUACUCCAGAGGAGUAAAAUGUAAAAACUGUGGUAGAACAGCCUCCUGUUUUGAUGAAAAGUUGCUAGCAGUUAUGACAUAAUGAACUUAACCAACAAGGCAAUAAAAAUUAAGUACCCUGUUUGUGAGUGAUGCAUAUCCCAUAUUAAGGCUAAAUUUCCUGUAAGUUAUACAUUGAAACAUUUUCCAUUAUGAUGUUCAUAAAAUUUUGUAUUCAACAACAUUGCUUCCUUUCUUAGGUUUUUGGAAUCCAACCAGAGGACUGCAGGUGAGAGAGAAGCAGGGAUACCCAUCACCAGAAGGUUGUGUUCCAGCAGUGGGAAGGCUUUGGGAAGCUGCUAAAAGCAUUCUACACUGCAUUUUUCCCUGACCAGACUUCACGUGAGUGAUCAAAUGACAGGCCAUCAUUUUUUGUAUUUCCGAGGAAGUAAUAUUUUUGCUACUUGUAAGUGACUAUUUGUAAUUCUUGCUAUUAUAGUAAGCACCUAUCCAAUCAAUCUUGAUUUUUAAAUCUCUUUUAGUCUCUUGAACAAAUACGUUUACAAGAAAAAUCAGGUUUGUUUAGAAUCAUGGAAUGAUUUAGACUGGAAGGGACUUUGAAGGUCAUCUGGUCCAACCUCCUACUCAAAGCAGACCUAACCUACUAAGAUGGGUUGGUUUUCUAUUAAAUUUUUUUUUUUAUUUCAAUAGCAGUAUUUUAUGGCAAUAGUUCUUGCUGAAGAGCUUGUUCUAAACCACUUUCCAUUUACUAAUUUCCCCUGUUAACUUUUGCUAUAAAUAUUCCCUGUAGUUACCUUUGGAAUCAACAAUCCCUGUUCACAAUUUAUUCUCUUGCCUCUUGCAUUGACAAUGGCAAAGAAUAGAGACUAACCUGAAUAUGCAGAGUAAAAUACAGUUUGGAAAAUGGGGUUUAUUAUCCCAUAUUCUGAAGAAUGACCAUACCUCAGUCCAGGAUUAUUGCUUUGAAGCUAAAGGAAAUUAAACCAUUCUUCUACCUUUAGGCCCAAAAGAAAAUGACUUCAUUUCCAUGUAUUUCUAGAGAUGAUGAGCUGCUGAUCUAUGAUUCUUCUCAACUUAUAGGACAGCUGAACAAAAUGUAAAAACCAAAGGCCUGGCUUUGCUCUCAGCUGUUCUGGUAUAAUCCAAGCUCAGCUUCUCUGGUGUUAAUGAAUUUAUUCCAGUUUUACUGUGCUGUGAUCAAACCAGAAUAUAUUGUAUAGUUUGCGUGAAAGAAUUGGGCCAUUUUCUUCUGUUUUCAGAUGAUGAGCUGUCUGUUAGUUGGUCUGUAGCCUCCCUUUCUCACCCUUUCCCUAUUCUAUAAUUUAAAAAAAAUGUGUAUUUGCAAAAGAACAGCGACAAACUCUACCUGAAAAACUGUGUUUCACAGUCUUGCAAACUCUUGUCUUUUAAAGAGAAGCCCCCUGCAGACCAUGAAACCUGGGGAGGAUCCUGUGGAGGAUUUGGCCAUGUUUAGAAAGCAUCCAGAGUAGCUAUGACAACUUCAUGUCCGGGGGCCAAGAUCGUGUCCACAUACCAAAUCUCUGACACUAUGCAAGAUCCUUAUCCAACCUAAAGAGGAAACUGUAAAAUUAGAAUUGCCUAAAAUAACCCCCAGAGAGACUAGUGCCGGUUCUUGAGAAGAGCUGGGGUUUUUUUGACAUCUCAAAUACAGCUUUUUCUUAAAAUGUCUGAAACAGGAAACUUGUGAAAGAAAAGAAAAUAAUUAAAUGAGUAAGGUAUCCACAACCCUGGAAAAACAGGUUCCCAGCUAGGUCCUUUUUUUGUUAUUUGCUGUGAUUUCUUUAACCUUCUUUGAUCAGUGAAAUGGACUUGGAGUGUUAUAGAAGCCUCUGAAAUAUAUCAGUAUAAUUUUCUUGGGUUUAUAUUUGAAAUGGGAGGGGUAUCCAAUGUGGGUUCCAGCUCCUCUGACCUGGAUGAGCUGGGAUUAAUGCUGAGUGCAGCGAGGGAGGCUGAUCUCAGCACAGGGAGGUGAUCAGGGGCUGAUCCAUUACCUGGGCCAGGCAGUUCGGAUGCUGACUGUAUUUUUUUGGUAUUACAUGUGGAAGUGCAGCAUUCCAACUGAUAGAAAUCUGCUUGUCCAUGCAAUGAAUAUGUUGGCUACAGCACCUGUAGCCUGUGCUUUCUGGUAAAAGCUGAGCUCUGUGUUAAUUCUCUUAGCUAUUGAUUGGUAAUAUUGUUUCUGCUUCCUGUCUCUGCAGUGAGGUUUUUACAUCCUGCCUGUAGUUGAUCCCUUCCUGUUUCUCUGGGUAUGGCAAGGUUCUGUAAAGCAGGUUUUUAUAAAGGAAGAGAGACCUGCAAAAUGCAUUACUAAAGGUACUGAUUUAAAAAACCAGGUGCACAAAUGAUGUUUGGGUUUAAGUAGCCAGGAUGAGGUUUUGAACAUUGGCUCAGGCAGAACCAAACUCAAACAUUUUAAUAAUGGCAUGUUAACAUAACUGCCUUAUGCAAAAUAUUUCUGGCUGCUUUUUAUGAAAGUAAACAGAAAGAGUGAUAUAUCUGGAUAAAGAGGAGCAGAUGGUAAUUUUCAUUAUUCCUCCCUUCCCCUCUCCUUUUACUUGCAUCCCAGUGAGGGAGAACUAAAAGACAAAAUCUCCUCUUUAGUGAAUUUGGAACAGAAACUCCAAAAUAGAUAUCCCAACUUAUGCCUUAACGUUUGCCCUGUGGGGUCAUACUCUUGAACACUCUUCCUCCACUGGAUUAGUAAGACCAAAGGAUUUUUGUCACUGAAAAAAAAAUGUUCACAUUUUACACGAGUUAAGGACUGCUUUGAUUUGUGAGAACUCAUUUUCAGUGUCUAAGUUCUUAUCCAGGAAGAACUCUCCACUGUGAGAAUGGUUAUCUGCAGGUCAGUUUUAACUUGGCAUCCUCCACGUUUGGCAGCAGAUUUUAGCUUUACGUAACACUGAGUUAUUAUUAAUGCACCAUAUUGCAGAUUUUAUGAAGGAAUCAAGUUUUCAAGUGUUGGGGUUUUUUUUCAAGUCAGGAAAUGCUACAGAUAGGCUUUUCACAGGCAUGUCACUUUAUGCUCUACGUGUCCCGUGCAUUUCAUUAUAUUUCCCUUAAAAUAACAAUCCUUAGGUUAGUGCACAUAUUUAGUAAUCAAAGCCAUGUAUUAUACUGCCUGAAUACAAAAGGUUUCACUCCAUGUUUCAAGAUCUUUUUCAUUCUCCACAUUUAUAACAUGACCUGUGUUAAUAUUGCAUUGGCACUGGUGGGUUUUUUUUUUAUUUGACACAAGUCUAAGGAUGUCUGAGUGGUCCUGGUUCAAGGUGUCUGUCACAUGAGGCACAGCAUUUCUGUCAGUAAAGAUUGCUUUGUUUUUAAAUUCAAGUGAAUCAGAAAAAAUACCUGUAAAAGGCUAAAAAGUAUUUAAGGGUGGUGGAGGAUGCACUUGGGGCCAGCAGUUCAUACAGUGGUGGGUAAAGUGGUGUGAGCCUGGCAUGUGUAUAGGGAUGGCACUUAGCAAUUGCUUAUUCUGUUUGCCUUUUUUGUUGACUGAUGUUUUUAUCUGGCUCUCUGGAGUGAGGUAUGCUGGAUGUACUGUGGCUUUCCAAAAGGAAAUACUGAAGUAACCCACACGGAGCCAUAAGGAAAAUAAACUGUCAUUUCUAACACACGGCACAUGAAGAAAAGCCCUUUCACAUCACUUUGUUUCCUGCUCAAAGCUGUUUCUCAAACUGUGUAAGAUCUCCAGCUCACAUUAUUGUUCUGAGGGGCUUCAUACAAGAAGGGCUUUUUUUGUCUAGCAAGGCUAAUGAGGUCCUAUAGCAAAAAGACACACAAUAUCAGUAAGGAAACAGCUAAUCUGACAUUAAUGUUCAAUGUGUUCACUCAUUUCCAAAUGCAUAUUAAUUUGGUGUAACUUUUCUGCCUUUGUACUAGAAUAGAAAGUAGGACAUCUGUGAGUACAGUAAUUAAACAAGUUAACUAAACCCCAUUUGAACAAAAGGCUUGGCAUGGCCAUGUUCCCACAGGUGCUCUUUCUGUGCUUUCCAAAGCUGGGUGGGUUCUGCUCUGUGUGCAUCACCAUCCCCUGUCCCUCACACACCAGCCUUGCUAGUGCAGCAGUCGAGCACUGCUGUCACAGGAAAAGCCAUCGUGCAUUUCUGGUGUUCCUGGGAUCCACCAGCAUUGCCAGUCUCCCCAUCUCCUUUGUGGAGGACACAAAUUAAGGGGUUUUGUAGCUGGAGUUGAGGGAUGAGACAUCCUAUCGCUACAUGCAGAGGUAACAGAGCUUUUUAGGUCAGAGAUGUCGCAGAUGUUUCUUUUAGGCCCACAUUAGAAACUUUUGCUCAUACACUGAUGUCAGCCUGGGUCUGAAAAAAACAUAAAUCCCACCUGGCCACUGGAGCUGAGCCAGCACAGUUCCUGGCGUGGACACAGCUGUGCUGCCAGGAAAUGGCUGCUGCCAGAUUAACCUGUUGGGUUCAGAGCCUGGUGCAACUCCAGUGGCACAAAAUCCCCUCUGGCAGUGCCCUUCCCUGCUGCAGAGCUGUGUGACACUCACAGGGACUGGGACUGCAGACAGAGGCUCCUCAGGGCAGCAGUUGAGAUGGGCCUGGUGUGAGAACAAAGGGGAGACAAAGACACUGAGAACGUGUCUGAGAACACAGCAAGAGUCAUUGGCAGGUCUGGUAGGAGGUGUCCCUUUUGACUGCAGGAGCCCCUUCGAAAACUUCCCACUCCAUAAAUCCAUUUUUUUCGCCCCUGGAAGCCACAUUUCCUAUGUAUGCCACUGGCUGCAGGAACAUCUGCUGGUGGGACUAGGUUUGUUUUGCUUAGAAACACCCAGCAUUUAUUGCCCUUCAGCUAAAUGCUGAAGGGUCUGUCCCAGGAGGACUGCUCUGGAUAGCAGAGAGGAACUGGGUCUUCAGCCAGACCCUAGUGGGACAGUAAAUGCCUCUGGUUCUCAGCAGAUCCUCCAGCAAGAACUCUCUCUGCCUGCUUCACAGUCCCAGCAAAAGGACUGCACAAACCCAUGACCCAGCAGUAUAUCAGGUUCAAAGUAUUUCUUCUGUCGUCACGUGCAUCUGCCUUAGGUUAUCAGCAAACCACAGAGAGUUACACCAGCGAGGAAAUAUUCAAAGGUCAGCCCAGGAUCACUCUGAGUGACAGGGGGUGAUGGGGUUUUUAUUAGGCUUUCUGUCUCUGGUACCUGUUGAUGUAGGAAUGGCUGAGUUCCUGGGAGCCAGCAGCUCCAGGACCCUUUAGUCUAUGGGGACUUGUUUUAUUACCCUUUCUUCCUGAGAUGAACAUGAGAAACUUCGAUGGGUUGCAGCAGUGGCAGAGAAACAUGACUGUGAUGCUCUUUGACCAAAAUCAAUUGUCCAAAGCACUUCAGCAUGGAAAAAAUGUCACUGGACAACGAAAACAACAGGAGUUAGUGGAGUGAAGCUGCUGGAGAGGUGAUUGUUCACUGUUUUCUGCAGUAUGAGAAGUAGAGGGCAUCAAGUAGAGUUUAAAUUACUCAAUACUUAAAAGAAUCUCUGGUUCCUGAGAUAAAUGGUUGUUUCAAUGAAAGUAUUAGAAUUAUUUUUGGUCGAAUAUCAGGAACUAGUCAUCAAAGAGAUUUGAUAAUGUAGCUAUUUGAAAUCCAUAUCUUAUAAGUGUGAAGUUCUGGCAUGACUGGAAUGAAAGUAUAGGUGAGUCAAGCACAGUAAUUCUGACCCAACUGUAGGCUACAGAAAGUUUGCAGUUUUCUAUUCCAGCCAAAGACAAAAAAAUGUAAUAAUCCAAGUAUCAGAACUUCUAAACUAAUUUUCUGAAAAAUCAGGUGCUUCAGAACAAUAUCCAAGUCUCAAGAUACAGCAGUGGAACAGAACAUUCAGUGGCUGUGUUUGCUGGGCAGAGCCUGGCAGGGCAGCAGGCACGCCUGUCCUGGGAGCAGUGCUUGGGAAGGGGCAGGGCACAACCCCUCAUUCCCACCGUGGGCACAGCCCAGCACCAGCCUGGGGACAAUGGCAGUGCUCCUGUGAGCUCGGAGGUGCAGGAACCAACCACAGCACAACGGGAAACAGAUUUUGUUCCAAGCUAGAAAAGCCUUUGCCCCCAAGUAUUUUUAACCCACGUAUUUCAGAGCAUGUCAGACAAUUGAUCAGCAAUCUGUUGCUGAAGUGAUGUAUUUAUCUGAUGCGUGGUUUCACUUAGCAGCUACAACACGUACGGCAGAGAACUGAAAAAAAUGAACUGGAACCCUAUGCAACAACUCUUAUUCAAAACAGAUGUAUUACUUGGUAUAUGUUUAACAUUCUCCUCAUAAUCCCAACUUGAUCCUUAACCAUCAUGCAUUAGAGUGUUGCUUUUAAAGAAGAUGAAAAUGGGCUGCUAAAAUGCUGCCCAUAUAAUCUGAAUUAUUUUCAGCCCUGUUGUUAAAGCUUAGAGAUAAAAUUCUCUUUUGAACUAAGGUUGAAGGCAUCGUGUUUGAUAUAUUGGUAUAAUUCCUGCAAUAUAAAUACUCAUAAAUUAAGUUAGUGGUAUGGUAUGAUUUCCUGUAAUCUGUUUCCAGAAUCAAUAUUUUAUUGAAUGAACUUCUUAUUUUAACUUCUCACUUACUGACCCAGUGGUGCAGCUGUAACGUGUGCUUGAUCACUCACUCUUUUAAAAUCAGAUCUGACUCUGCAGCAGUGUAGAUGGGGCACGGUUUUGGAAGAAUCUCACUUAAUAUUGUGUGCAUAGAGAUUGAAAAUAGCACUAUCACACCCUAAUGUAGAUUCUCCCAUCUUAACAUCCUGUAGUACUUUAGAAAACGGCCAUGUAAUAUAAUCCCCAUUUUAUGGGCAGGAAAACUGAAGCCAUGAUUAUUUCCUUCUUAAAGGAUGCUUAACUUUAAGCACCUCCCUAUAACAUCUACUUUUGUAAAUGUGGGUUUUAUUUUUAAGAAUCCCUUAUGCGUAGCAAUUAUCAUUCAGCUAAUUACCCAAGAUUUAUUGCAAGCCUCUGCCAGUGAGUGUGUGACCUCGUGCAGAGCAAAAGGCUGUUUGUUCCGAGCAGGUGGAACUGUCUCACCCAUUGCGCCGUGCCGGGGGUGUUGACAAAGGCAGCAGCAGAUGAGGAUGCUCUGCAGUACUUUGGGGGCUGGGGUGGUCCAUUGGCACUUCUCUGGGGCAGUGCACAGUUCCUGUGCUGUGUCCUUCUCGGGAACACAAAAACUGCCAGCAAUCACCAUCAGUCCCUGCAGGUCUCCUGGGAGCCUCGGGUUCCUGCAGCAGAACCUGGUGCUGCAUCUCUAAGCUGCACAGCCAAGAAUGGGAUGAUUUCCCUCUCCUCAAACAGUUCCUCCCUCCCUCUUUUCUUUGCCCUUGCUUGUUCUGCGUCUGUGCUUUACAGGCUACACCACAUUUAAACACACAGUGAUCCCACUGUGGGUUUUGGGGGUGGAGGAGGGAAUGUAGGAGUACUAGCAGAAAAAUUGCUCUUUUUGUGGUGACCAGAGCAACUGUAUUAGACAAAACUGCUUUUUUUUAUCAGUGUUUAAAAAGUGUUUUCUGAUGUGGUAAAAACUGUUAUAUGGAUGGAGUUCAAGAAGGUGGAGGGCAUGUGAAAGUUUAUUUUAUAAAGGGAAAACUGGAUUGUUUUGUAGUAGGGGUUCUGUACCUAAAAUGUCUCUACAGAUUGAAUUUCCAAAGUGUUCUCAGACACUUUGUUUCAGAUGGGCAAAUGGAGAAUGAACAAUAAGGUUUGUUGAUGCCUUCGUAGAUGCAGUCUGAAUGCUCUGAUUUACACAAUGUGGUCUUAGGUUGAUGAUGCCACCAUAAGACUCCAAGACCUGACAAGUCUAAUCCUGAGAAAUCCCCUGCAGCCAGUGCAUACUGACUUCAUAGGAGCGAGAUAUGAACCUGCCAUCCAGCUUCAGCCUCCUCUGUAGAUCAGUCCAGGACAUCACUCUUGAUGCUUCCAAGGACUAUAACUCCACAAAGGCUGGUGUCAUUCUCCAGUGGAGUUUAAAAUGGAAUUUAGGAGAUCUGGUAUUCCCAGGGCAGCCAUGCAGUGCUGCAGCAGGAGGGAAACAGACCUCCAAAACAUGCCACUAUAAGAAAAGAGCAAGGAAAAGCCCAGUCCUGGAAAAUGCACUGGCACUACAAAAGAGUGUGGAAGUCUGGGGAAACAAUGAAUUGGAGCUGAAAAAUACUAUAUCAGUCCUGUAUGGUUUUAAUAAGUAGUUGGAAGGUCUUCCGUGAGGGGUUUCUGUUCAAUUUUAUCUCACUCAGGGAUAGAAGUUGUUCAUUUGGUCCCAUAAAGAGCUGAACUUCCUGAGCAGGCACAUUGGAAGUUCUCUUACAUUGGCAUAGGAAGCUAUUUCUUUUUUGUAAAACAUUUCACAUUUAUGUUCUCCCAGAAUUAAAGGCAUAGGGCCUGCUCCAGAGCCCUCUGCAGUCACUGAUACCCUCACACUGAUCUCUGGGAGCUUUAGGGCUCUCUUUUGGACCUCCUUUUUUUUCCCCCCCCAGUUAGCUACCAUUUAUAUAACAGAGUUAAAAAUUUGGGAACUCAAAGCACACAAAGAAUUUGCAGUUUGGGAUAGGAAGGGAAGGAUUCCACAUCCAACCAAACCAACCCCUGUCUUCCCUGCUACUUGCUGCUAAGCAUGAGGAGAGUUUUCCAGCUCUGGGUGGGACUGACAGCUCAUUGCUGGGUUCCUGCUGCUCCUGGGAAACCACCAUUCAUCCAGCCUGCAAUCUGCAGAAUAAAGGAACCAGAUAAUCAAUGACACUCUCCUCUGUCCAUAUUUAAACAUUUAUGGCAUAGAUGUUGACAGAUGAUCUCACCAUCUAAACUCCCUUUGUAGUUGACGGAAGGACAAAGACACUUCUGUCUCAUAUUUUUGCAAAUAAACAAAUGGAUAUACACAUAUACAAAUGUAAAGGCUCACAAAGGUUAAUUUAAAUGGUAUCCUGACAAAACUUGAAGAAGAGAAUGAGAAAUUCUUUCCUGACCUUUUUUUCUCUUGUGCUUUGCCAAUUCAAAGGGAAGUCAGUGUGCUUUGUGCAGACAGAAGUGUAAAUCUUUUGAAACUCCAGCAAAAAAUACAUACAGCAGAUAUAAAUACAAAUAAAAUUCAGGGUAGAUGACACCUUUCUGGAGUAGUUAUGACUGGAUAUUCUGUCUACAACUAGCUGUUACAUUAAGGCUGUGGGAACAUCUACAGUGACAAAGCUGACACUUCAUUUUGGCCGCUUUAAUGAGGUGUUCGGUGUCCUGCUCCUCUGCUGGGCUUUUGCAUCACCAACCCAAAAGCUGCACCAUCACUAAUGCAGAGAGAGUCUUUUUCUGUGUCGUGUCCAGUCAAUCAGCUUUCCUCCUGUGCUCCAUCCUGCAGUCUCCCUCUGAGGCAGAGCUGCAACCUGAGGGUCAUAGACCCCAGGGAGUUCUUCGUUUCCUGAGAAAAGAUGAAACCACUGCUACCUUUGAACAAAACCAUUUAUCUUAGUACAGAACCAGUGUCUUGUUCAUCCCCAAAAACUGAGCUGAAGAGAAGUCUCAGCCCUCCCUCAACACAUGCGAUUCUGUCCUUCAUGAAGGUUGCAAAAACAUCUGUCCUGACACAUCUGGGAUCACAAGGAGACUGAUUAAAAACCUGGAAGACAGACUGAGCUUUCCCAGUCUGAGCUUUCUGCCAUGGAAGCAGGCGCCAUAAGGCAAACCUGACUGAUCUUUUGCAAAAAAAACCCCAAAACAACCCCAAACCACAAAGAAUCCCCCAAAGAUGGAAAAGGUCUUUGUAGUCAGUUGCUGUUCCCUCGUUGUUCCUGAGCUGCUGGAGCCCUCUCAUGUCUCCUCGAGCUGCUGCAGAGAGGUCGGGAGGAGCCCUUGGACACUGGCAGAGGAGCUCUGUGCUCAGGAGAUGGUGCUGGCUGAUGGCAGCCCGGGCCAGCUCAGGAGAUUGUGCUGGCUGAUGGCAGCCCGGGCCAGCUCAGGAGAUUGUGCUGGCUGAUGGCAGCCCAGGGCAGUGCUCAGGAGAUUGUGCUGGCUGAUGGCAGCCCAGGGCAGUGCUCAGGAGAUUGUGCUGGCUGAUGGCAGCCUGGACCAGUGCUCAGGAGAUUGUGCUGGCUGAUGGCAGCCCGGGCCAGCUCAGGAGAUUGUGCUGGCUGAUGGCAGCCCGGGCCAGCUCAGGAGAUUGUGCUGGCUGAUGGCAGCCCGGGCCAGCUCAGGAGAUUGUGCUGGCUGAUGGCAGCCUGGACCAGUGCUCAGGAGAUUGUGCUGGCUGAUGGCAGCCCAGGGCAGUGCUCAGGAGAUUGUGCUGGCUGAUGGCAGCCCAGGGCAGUGCUCAGGAGAUUGUGCUGGCUGAUGGCAGCCCAGGGCAGUGCUCAGGAGAUUGUGCUGGCUGAUGGCAGCCUGGACCAGUGCUCAGGAGAUUGUGCUGGCUGAUGGCAGCCCGGGCCAGUGCAGGAGAUUGUGCUGGCUGAUGGCAGCCCAGGGCAGUGCUCAGGAGAUUGUGCUGGCUGAUGGCAGCCUGGGGCAGUGCUCAGGAGAUUGUGCUGGCUGAUGGCAGCCCGGGCCAGCCUGCAGGCCGUGGCACAUCUGCCCUGGGCUGGGCACUGGGCUGGGUGCUGGUGGUGCCCCUGCCUGCUGUGGCAGCAGAGGGUGAGCAGUGAGAGGGGAGCCGAGCAGAACACGCUGGCCUGUCCCUGCAGGACGCGGUGUCUCCAUGGGUGCAGCUGGGCUGCCCACCACGGUCCUGUGCUGGGCAGGGUGUGGGAGGGUCCCUGCACCCCACGGCUUCGCUGCACAGCUCCUGGGGGCACACCGAGUUGGGACUGAAAGCCAGGAAUUCCCUCUUCUUCCUCUUGUUGUGAUACAGAAAAGAUUUCACCAGUCCCGUCAAACAAGAAGAUCCAUUGGGGUAAUUAAAAAGUACUCAUUUAAUACAAACGUCUGGUGUUGCAGUAAACCGGCUGUUUUGUCCACAAAAACCUGACCAUGUUUUCAAUUAAGCCUCAUCCCCUUACUGAUGUUUUCAUAUUUGUGCUACAUUUACAUAAAGUUUCCUGACAAAAUAUGUCUUUCCUCUUGCAUGUUUAUGUGUUUCAUGGUUCAGCACAUCUGUGGAAUUGUUUAGCUAUCAACAAAACUAACGCAACACAAGAACUGAUCUCAUUGGAGCUUUCUCUCACCACUUGGACAUUAUGGUGCAACUAUUCCUUCAGGUGGGUUUCAGCUCCAGGCUGUUCCCUGCUCUGCCACUUCCCAGGGAGGAGCCCUCCCCUGCUGAAGAUAUUUGGGAUGUGGGUGUAUGACUGUGACCCGGCCAGCUGCAGGAGCCAGCCAGUGUGUGAGCAUGGGCUCAACCUGCAGAGCCCUGCAUUAGACACCUCCCUGUAGAGCUUCAUCUUUGCAGAGAUGCAGAAUCCCCUUCCCAGAGCCUGCAGGGCACUGCAGGGGGAUGGCUGGCUAAUGGUCAUGGAUCCUCAGUGGGACACAGGUGUCUCCUGUGCCUCUGAAACCCCCCCAGUCUGACUGGAGAGUCACUUCUCUCUAUCCCAGCAGCCACUUCUUCCAUCACAUUGUUUCACACUUUCUACCACUGUGGGAACAUCGUGUUCAUACAUGAGGGAGGAAUUUAACUCUCUGAAUGGACCUGGGUGUCAUCAGCUUAACAAUACUGUUCAGAUAAGGAAAUAAAUGCUACAUGAUGGUGCUUACCCUUGCUUGUGACAAAACAACAGCUGUUGUACAACCUUCCUUUGAAAAUUAUCUAUGGAGUAGCUUUCACUUUCAUAAAUGCACACAGGAGAAGUGGUUUGGUAGGAUUAGCAUUAGCCUUAAAAAAAUGAUAUAUUAUGCAACCGAUUCUUAGUUUUUAAAUCUUCACAGGUGGAGAAGACACACAUUGAUCAGGACAGAGUCACAUGUGAACGAACCAGCUGAACUGGGAAAAAACUUGCAGUGGCCAAUAUGUAACAGCUGAUGAAAAGUUUGGGAGCAUCCUGGGCUCAGGGGCCAGUUGGCCUGGAACAGCCCACAUUUACAUUAGUAAAUUCCUGGUUAAACAGGGUGUUUGCAUUCAGAGCCGUGGCCUCACCUACAGGCAUUAGCCAUGGCUUCACUGCUGGUGGCCUUUCGGGACCUCUGAGGUGCGUCUUACUCACAAAUCAUUGUUUAUUUUAAACUCUGUGACGGUUGAAGUGCAGCUUUGUGAGAAGAUAUGAAGUUCUUGGCAGCAAGUGUGCUGAAUUGCCUUUCUCUUUGAAAAGAGGGAGGCUGUUCACAGUGCUGUGUGGGAGGGGGAUGAAAGGCAUAGGACCUAAGCUGGAACAAUGUUCGUGCUGGGUUUCAAACGCAGUUUUUGUAGCAAAGGGCAGUGGAAGAGGCUGGACUGAGAGGCUGAGCAGCCUCCAUGCUCAGAGGCCUGGAACACCCAGCUGAGCAACCUGCUCUGCCCACACAAUUGUCCCUGCACUGAGCAGGAGGGUGGACUGAGGGCCCUUCCAACCUGAAUGGUUGUCUGUGGAGCAGGGUGUGACCCUCUGGGGCUCACUGAGGCUCCCCAGACUGUGCUCGGGUCAGGACAGUGUCACUGAGGGGACAGCUGUUCUGCAGCAUCAGCCCUGCAGAAUGCCCAGAAAUGGAGAGGAAAUAUGUGCAGAUUUAAAAUCUUAAAACCACAAGUAUAAUAAAUUCUCAUUUAAUGUCAGUGAGUUAAUGCUGAGAAGGUAAAACAGAACAUCAGAUGUUCUUAUUUUCCCCGAAGCCCAGCUAACUUCACAGACAGAGAUUAUCAUAGGAGCAGUUUCUGAAUAACCCAUUUCAACAGCAGGAUUUGUGGCUGGAUGUCAUUGUGGUAACAGCACUGCAGCUGCUCUUUCAACAGUUUGGCUCACACCUAUGCACUUCACCCAGCAGUUAAUAUACAUGCUUUGAGUGGUGUGGUGAUCAACACACACAGUUUCCUGGGUGGGCUGCAAAUCCCUAAGUAUGUAUUUUUUCAAGUCGUUGAAGUUUCUGAACAUUUUUGUGUGAUUGUUGUUCUUACUCUCUUUGUCACCUUACGAUGUCUCAACACAGAUUAUUUGUUAGAAAGCCAAGAGCCAGGUGGAGUUCCUGGGGAAAAGGAACAACUAAAAAUACUUCUGUUCUGUAUUCAUUCAGUGACAUUGUCUGAUACCGUAUUACACGAGAUUACUGAUCUAAUGGAGCCUGACAUCGUACAAGAACAUGAAGCAUGAGCCCAAACCUGCCCUAAGCUGUGACACCAGGCCUAGAAAGCACUGUGGAGUGAUAAUGUGCCAAUUGGACCUGUCCAUUUGUGUUAUUGCAGGCAAUGGAAGACAAGCCUUUCCAUCCUCCCCUCCAGAUUCACCCUCUGUAACAGUUAUGAAUGAGAGGCUGAAACUGUGAAUUACUCAGCCUGUUCAUCAAGAACAGCAGGGCCAAAUUCUUCCCCCUACCUGGCAUGAAGCUUUAUUUAUUAACUUGGUGGGAGCUUCUGGACUGCUCAGAGUAUCCCAGUCAGCCUGGUGUCAUCUGAAAAGAGCUGUCACUCUUCCCAUUCUGAGAGGGUACUGAUGAAAGGCAGCAAUGCUCCCCUGGAGGGGCUGUGUAGUUAUUAAGAAGUAGCCUAAAUGUGAAAAAUAAACAAGUAAUAACAAGUUUUAACCACCAACAGCACAGGCUAAAUAUGAAAGAUGAGGCAAAGGAAAUGUUGGUGUCUGGCUUUUCAGUCCUUCCUAUCAGGAUGAAAUUAAAUAUCUUUCUACUAAAAGAGAGCCUGACCAAAGACUGCUGAAAUCAGUGGAAAGACAUCCACUGCAGAGGGUUUCUAGAAAGGCCCACCAUUCUGAAGACAAUUGGCUCACACACAGCCAUUCCUUCCUGAUGGAUAUUUGCAGCUGGGGCUAAUAAUAGUAUUUAAUGUUCUUUCUAAUAAAUCUCUUGUCAUAUG